UUGUUUUAAUUUUUUUUUUAAUUUUAUCAUUUAUUAUUUGAAAAAAUUCUUAAUUUCAUUUUUUUACUAUUUAAAAUUUAUUAUUAUAAUUUUUUUAUUAUUAAUUAUUAAUAUUUCCCAUAACAAAAUGUUUUUGUAGCAAAUACCCCACACCUUCAGCGUUUUCAGUUCGCUAUAUUGUUAUUUUAUUUAUUUAUAUUCAUUUCACAUGAUUUAAUUGAGGGUUUCAAAAAUCAUUUAAAUUUUUUUUUGCGAAAUUUUUAUUUUUUUUUUUAUGAAUAAAACGUUUACAUCAUUAAUUAAUGUUUUUUUGCUGUUAAAUUGUAUUAAUUGUUUUUGUUUACUUAUUUUUUGCCUUGUAUGUAUGUAUAUUUUCCAAAUGGCUUAUGCAAAAAUUUCACUAAUUCAAAAUUCGUUUCAUUAAGGUUUCUCAUUUAAUAUAGUAAUUUUAUAUAUACUAAACACGAGUAUAUUUUUCCCAUUAUAAAUAUGUAUGUAUGAUGUUAUCAAGAGAAAAAGAAAAAAAAUUUAUUAAAUUGAGGAAAAAAUGUUAAAGCUAAUAAAAAAAUUUAUAAUAAAUCUAAGAAAUCAAAAAAAAUAAUAUUAAAUGUGAUAUUUAGCCGAAAAGAAAAUUAUAAAAAAAUCGAAUAAUUUGAAGCUCAACAUAUGUAACUUUUGUCAUGAGUAAGUAAUCAAAUCAAAGUAGUAAGGAAAAAUAAGCUAGUUAAAUUAAAAUACUGUGCUUGCUGCCAUAAAACACUCAAUGGCGGAAAAUACUUCAAAAUAACUCAGCUUAGUUAAAAUUAAAACAAAAAAUAUUAUAAAUUAAAAAAGUUUCGAAUAUUUUUUACUAUUAAAAGUAUUUUUAUAAAGAACUAAACUUCAUUUUUUAUAAUUAACUUUAUUUUUCUUGAAAUAUGUACAUUUACGCCGAACCACAAACUCGAGUUUAGUGUCCAAUUCGAGUUUUCAAAGCAACGAAAACGCAAGACACCUCAUUUUCCGCUAUGAAAUACUAAAACGUGUCCGUUUUCAUCAAAGUCGGGUUCAUUUAACCCAGGUUUUUACUCGGCAAAGAACUGCCAUCAUCACAGAAAAUGAAUAUGACAGCUUAAAUUGCUAUAAAAUCAGCUUAAGGUCACCAAAGAACUGUCAGCUGUCAUUUCAGCAACAGAAAAUUCAAAUGACAGCUUAAAUUGCUAUCAAUUCACCAUCUAAAAAUUCCUCAGGCAAUAAUUUAGCUGUGCUUUCUCUGAAAACGUGAAAUAGUCCACGUAAGUCCUUAAUUUUUUUUUAAUAAUAUAUUUUUAAUCCUUGUCAGUUGCACCGAAUUUAUGAAAAUAAUUGUUACAAAUUAAAAUAAAACAACCAAAUAAUUUUAUUUUGAACGAACAAAAAAUAUUUAUUAAUAUAGAGAGAAUUAAUUACGUUUAGUUAUUUAAGGAGCUUCAUAAGCAAAGGCAUACCACACACACACACACACAAACACACACACACUUGUUCUCUGUGUACGUGUGCGUAUGUGGCAUUAACAUAAAUAAUUAUAUAAUUAUAAGUUUACGGCAUGAUAAGGCAAUCAAUGAGCGCUCGAAAUUGGAAACGAAAAUAAUUUAGUUAAACAUUUAUGCAAAGUUUUUUCUAUGCACUUUUGUCGCAGUAUGUGUAUGUUUGUAUGUUUUGCUAGCAGUUUCCAAUUACAGGCAUAACAUUUUAUUUAAUUUUUCAUCUUUUAGUUUUUACUUGUUUGAAAUUCCCUUAAAUUUACGUUUAUUACAUAUUUUAUACAAUAUAUGUAUGUAUAUAUGUAUAUACUGUAAAUUAUUUAUUUAAUGUAUUCCCUAAUAAUUUAUUAUGUUUAUUACGCAUGAAUGCAUAAAAAUACCUGCUAUUUUGUUUUCCACCAUCUGCAGCACAACGCUCUCAUUACUUUUAUUUUUUGUUAUUUUUUUUUUAAUUUUUAUUUUUUAAUAUAAUUUUAAUUACGAAAUUGCUUCACUUUACAUACUCAUGCACUGCCGUCAAUGGUUUCUUUACAAUAAUUGUUUUAAGUAUAACUAAAUUUUUAUUUAUCGUAUCAUAUUUUGUUUUUGUUUUUUUUUUUUGGUAACUGCUUCUUUUCACUAUGAAUGUAUAAUGUAUGUGUAUGCAUGCUGAUUGAGUUAAUUUCUAUGCCUUUGCGCUAGAUUUCUGCAUAUUUGCCUACAUAUGUACUCGCACUUCCGGUUCCGCUAAAUAUUAUUUCAUACCCAUUUCAUGUAUAAAUAAAUGAAAACAAUAAAUAUUUUAAAAGUUUCCUCAGCGUCUAUUAUAUAAGUAUGUAUAAGUAUAUUUAAUUAUUUUUCUUGCUUUUUGUUUUUUUUUAUAUUUUUUCUUUACUCUUUUCGCUAGAUUCUGCUACUUUACUUAUGUAUUUCUUACAUGUAUGCGCAUUCACUGCAAUGUAAAAGUUGUUAAUUUUUGCUGAUAUGUAUUUGUUGUUUUUGUGUUUUAAUUUAAUAGUUAAUUGAUUUCAUUUCACAAAACUUGCAGCUGGCAUCCACCGCUGCAUGCCUGCCAUGCCUGUCUAAAUGUUCUUGUUCUUGUUGUUUUUUUGUAAUUUUUUCUUUAGUUAAUUUUCGCACAAUUUACACGUUUUUAUAUAUGUAUUGUAUGCAUGCACUGCAGCUGUAUUUUAUUAGUUAAUUACCGCUUAUAUCUACAGUUUAAAACUUAAUCUGAAACUUGCUAAGCGUCUUCACGGCGGCAUUGUUCUCACCUUUUUGACCCUUACAAAAUGUAAAAUUGCUGGUUCAAAGAUAUGUUUAUUGGUUUUGUAUUUGUAAUCGUCGCUUUAUCGACGUUUUGUUUGCUAAUUUGUUUUUGUUUUCUUGGUUUUGCGCCUUACUUUUCAAAUAUGCCUGUUCUGAACCUGCGCUCGGCUGUCUUUUUUUCGCUUCUACUGUUUUGGUUUGUCUUUUCUUUGUAUCUUCAUGCUUGGUUAAUCAUAGUCGAAUGUUGGUAAUAUAUAUUUUUAUAUGUAUUUAUAUGUAUAUAUAUAAGUAUAUAACGUUAAAGUAAUUUCAAUUAAAAUUUAUAUUAGCUUCUUUACUUUACUUUGCUUUUCAUUAUAUAAAUAUUAAAAGUAUUUAUAAAAUUUAUUAAAACUAAAUAAAAAAAUAAAACAGGCGCUUUGAAAAAAUUGGUGAUUUAUGUAUUUUUGAAGAGUGUAAGAGCUCAGCUUAUAGAUGUGUUAAUAUAAAAUAAUUAUUUCAAUAAAUAUUUUUUUUUGAAAAAUAUAAUAUAAUUUAAUUUAAUAUUAAAUUAAAAAAAUUAUUUUACUCUGUAGCAGCAUGUUGCAAGAAUACUAAAAGAGUAAAAUCAAGCAAAUUAAAAAGCAAAAAUAAUAUGAUUUACGAAAG
rnacentral:lncRNA from 1 species